rnacentral:rRNA from 1 species
AAUCAACGCUGGCGGCGCGCUUAACACAUGCAAGUCGCACGAGAAAGGGAGCAAUCCUGAGUAAAGUGGCGCACGGGUGAGUAACACGUGGGUAUCUACCUUUUUGUGGGGAAUAACUUGGGGAAACCCGAGCUAAUACCGCAUAAGCUCGAGAGAGGAAAGCCGAAAGGCGCAGAAAGAGGAGCCCGCGGCUGAUUAGCUAGUUGGUGAGGUAAUGGCUCACCAAGGCUUAGAUCGGUAGCCGGCCUGAGAGGGCACACGGCCACACUGGCACUGAAACACGGGCCAGACUCCUACGGGAGGCAGCAGUGGGGAAUCUUGCACAAUGGAGGAAACUCUGAUGCAGCGACGCCGCGUGAACGAUGAAGCCCUUCGGGGUGUAAAGUUCUUUCGCCAGGAACGAUAAUGACGGUACCUGGAGAAGAAGCUGCGGCUAACUACGUGCCAGCAGCCGCGGUAAUACGUAGGCAGCAAGCGUUGUUCGGAGUUAUUGGGCGUAAAGAGUAUGUAGGUGGUGUCGUAAGUUUGGUGUGAAAUCUCCUGGCUUAACUGGGAGGGUGCGCCGAAGACUGCGAUGCUUGAGUAUGGGAGAGG